rnacentral:lncRNA from 1 species
AGCCUUGGUUUGGAAGUGCAUCAGGCUGGGAAAUCUUAGGAUGGUGAACCAUCGUGUUUCCUGAGUGUGAAUCCUGUACCUGGUUUGACUGUAGUCACCCCUUCUCCAACACUCUCCACGAUGCCGGCUGCCUCAUGGCCUAAAAUCACAGGAAGUGGGGUCACCAUGGUACCACUAACCACGUGGUCAUCUGUGCCACAGAUUCCUACAGCCACCAUCUACAGAGUGAAGAGAAGAUGUUUAUGAAAGAUUAUGAGUCUCAGGAUGUUCAACAUGAUCAAUGCCAAAAUAAAUAUCAGAAUACUUGGAAGUAAAGUACUAAUAGUAGGAGUUCCUGAUUAUCAGGUGCCUAUGAUGUGACAGGCACAUUGUGGCCUGUGCUCGACCAGGAGACUGGUGAGUCCUUGUGGAUUUCUUCCCUGCUCAAGUGCAUAAAGCAGGUGUAUUGCACAGGCACUGCACAGGCAGCUGUUUAAUCA